rnacentral:sRNA from 1 species
ACAUUGUACGUUGAGUGUAGGUGAGAAGCUGCGCUCAGGUUCGAGCCGAGCGAAGCGAGACAGCGUUGCGCUUGCCGCAACGACCCGAAGAGCGAGGGCAAAGCCCGAGUAAUCCUGCACGACCCACCA